CACUGCUCUAUUCGUGAUCGUUAAAAACUGGAAGCAACCAAGAUCAUCUUCAUCGAGGGAAUGGAUAAACCGUGGGAUUCCAUGAAACGGACUAUGAUUCAGGGACACAAAGGAACAAGCUGUUGAUUCACUCAGCAGCGUGGAUGAGCCUUAGACAUAUUUUGCUAAGUGAAGGACUCCAGACCCACAUAUGAUUCCUCUCACAGGGCGUUCUGGAACAAGCACAGCCCCGGGAGGGCAAGCACCAGCGGCUGCCGGGGCUAAUGGGGUGGGGGCUUAAGCUGCAGCGCGGAUGCGGCGGCCCCACCCGUGUGUGAAAACCCACGGGGCUGUACGUCCCAGAGACUGAACUGUCAUGUGUGCAAACUGAAUAAAGAAAGAAAAUAAAAACUUGUCAAACUGUAUACCUGGGAUAUUUAUAUUUCAUUGCAUGUAGACUUAACCCCUGAAACUUGAGUUUUGAUCCUGAAAAUGCUGUACUAUUAAUCAGAAACUUGGCAGGGAUGAAGGUUCCCAGGGACCAAAGCUCUUGUGGGGCCCCCGGGAGGCAGCUCCUGCUCCACCGGCUCUUUCCAGAACACUCCCUCGAGGACCACCAGCUGAGAGGACCCCACGGGCUGCCCACAGUGGGGUCUUGGGCCAGCCCCCUGGCCUUGUGCUCUCCCAGGUCAGGCCCCCCAAGCCUGCCCUCACGGCAGGACCUCCAGCCCGUGCUGGGCCCCAUCGCCCCCCUCGCCUCAUCUGGGAAAGGGGACCCAGGACGGCGCCCAAAGCCUCAGGCACGGGGCUGCUGUGGUGCUGGCGCCUGAGCUGGCUCAGGGGCUCUCCGGCCCAGAGGGCAUCUCAGGUGGCCCCUCCAGGGCAGUGUGGGCUCGGCCAGGCGGGAGCCCAUCCAGGAGCUGAGGUGGUAGUGUGGAGGGGGGCAGAAGAGGCCUCCGGGUGGGUCCUCCAUGCACAUCUGGCUCUUGCAAGAGGUGGCUACUGCCAGGGCAUGAACCAGGUCAUGGCCAUCCUGCUGAUGUUCCUGAGGAGGACGCCUUCUGGGCGCUGGUCCAGCUGAUGACAAGAAACACGCCAUGCAUGGUAGGUGACCGCCGGGGACAGCUGGGAGUGCCUCAGGGCCAGGGGUCUCCCUGCAGAGCUCCCCUGGCUGUGGGCUGGCGGGGACCUGGGCCCAGUCCAUCUCCCCAUCAGCGAAGGGCACUGGCUCCCCGUGCUGCCCUCUGGGUCCUAGAGCCACGGCCCUCAGUCCCGGCCUCGUCCGGGCAGCUCUCCCUUCCCUGCUGGUCCUUCUGCCUCACACCUGCCACCCCCCAGCGCCCUCCGAGCCCAUGGCCAGACGAAGCCCCGGCAGCAGCAACACCCCCUCCCGUGCCCCCAGCCUGGCUGCCAAGCCUAGGAGAGGGCCAGGCACACCCCCGCCACCCACCCCGUGGGCCGCACUCCCUGCCCCUCUGUACUGGGUCCCCCACCCUCUGCUGUGGCCAGGGCAAGUGCCAGGGCCGGAUGCCUGCCCACCCCUCAGCCCAGGGCGCCAGCCGAGCUGGGCCUCCGGGAGCAGGGCCUCUGCCCCGGCGGCCCCGGCCUCACAGGCUGUCCUGCCUGGGAAGAGCGUGUCCAGCCAGGGCUCAGGAGGGCCCCGCACGCUGGGGUCACCACGGGGGGCACCUGCAGUACUCAACCCUCGCUGGACACGGCUCUGACUUGUGGGGGUCUGGGGGCUCCUCGGGCUUCUUCAUCCCGGGGGUUCCCAGAACGGCUGAGACUCCAGGCCCACGAAGAGCACAUUCUAGGCAGAGCCUCCCCCAGCUGCAGCGACACCUGGUGAGUAGAAGCGUCGCCCCCCGCCCCCCACAGAGGCCCUGUCCCACGGCCACCGGGGGGGCUUGGCCUCCUGCAGGCUUCACUCUCCUUCUCCUGGGGCGGAUCAGCGGCGAGCUCGGGCCACCUGGGUCCUGGGGGCGGCUGCACGGCGUCCCGAAAUAGGGAGGUUUCCGGCCCAGCACGCAGGCCCUGAGCCCCUGUGCCCUCCAUCGGGACGAGGAGCAGAUGUCCCUGGGGACUGACACCGUCCAGUGGUUCCUGCAGGGCUUCAUCCACCAGGUAAGGCUGCCCAGGAGGCUGAGCCCCACCCCCCAGACAUGCCAUGCCCCUCCCGAGGGGCGUCCGGGGGGCAGCCCGGAGCCCUCCUGGUGGGCGCAGGGCAUCUCGAAGUCCCAGCCGUUUCUGCUUUGGCUCCCUUCAGAAGGCUGGGUCAGCCCGGGGGUGAGCAAGCCAGCGUUCUGCUCCACUGAGGUGUUCCCACCGAGCGUGGGACAGGCUCUGUUGCCCCCAGAUUAGGGGUCGUGCUGGCCAGGCCCUCAGGACCUUGAGUCCAGGAGCCACGACCCCACUGGGACGAGCCCAGCCAGGUGAGGAGCUGCAGGAGCUUGUCUGAUGCAGCCCAGGCGGACUGCAGAGGCCGGAGGCCGGUGGCGGGUUCUUACCCUGUGCUGGGACCACCACCGUGCCCUGCUCAAGCUGCCCCUCCUGGGCCUGCUGUCCCCACAGACCCCCUUUUCGCUCACCCUGAAGCUCUGGGAUGCCUACAUCCUGGAGAGCGAGCACAUGCUGACGGCCAUGGUGUACACCGUCCGCAAGGCUCCCGAGCGUGGAGUGCAGGCCGCAGAGGAGGCAGGCCGGCCAGCACGGGGGCCCAGAGGUCGCCCUCCAGAGCGCGCCCUUGGCAGUGGCCCUGCCCACGGCUCUCCCGGGCACGGCAGACCCCCAGCAAAACCUGAAGAGUUCCCCACGAGGCCCCUGGGCCUGGAGCGACCUGCCCCAGCCCCCAGGCCUCUCCUUACCCCUCCCAGCAUCAAGACGCUCCCCGGAGAAGACGGGCUGGCGCUCCCUGGCCCACCUGCCCAGCACUAGCAGCCCGGCCCCUCGCCCGGCCCGGCCAACCUGAAGGCCAAGGAGCAGCAGCACGAGGGGGCCCCGGCCGCAGGCCUCCCGCUGGGGGCCCCGGAGGCUCCGAGUCUGGCCUGCCUGUCCCCAGCCCAGAACAGUCCUCAGGAUCGGCUGCGGCCAGUGAUGGAAUUCCCUCCCAAGCCUCUCAGUGAACCAUGAGGCCACAGGCAAGUGGCCCCCAGACAUCGGCUUUGAGCCGGAAUGCUGGGUCCUCUCCCCUUCAACACCUGCCUGGGCCACGCCCAGGGCCACACGAUAGGCAUGGCCCUGCAACCCCACUGAGGUCCCAGCCACUGGCUCUGCCCAGCCCGCUGAAGACGGCACCGCCAGGGCCACGACACCCCUCCUGCCCUGUGGCAACUGCAGCCGGCACCCCUCCUGGGGCAGUGACCAGCACGGCCACGAUGGACCCAGGGCAGUGCCCCAAGAGCAAGCCCCGCACGUCCCCACAACCCCCAACCUCUGCGUCCACAAGGAAGCUGGACGCUCAGGGGCCUCCAGGGGACAAGGUGACUGUGAGCACAGUGACCCCGAGGCCCUGGGAAGACAGCGACACGCCCUGCUGCUUCACGCUGGCCUUCCCUGAGGACGGGACCCCCUCACACGGCACAAGGCCCUGACCCAGAAGCGCCUGGCCUGGUCUGAAUUUGGGCCCCGGGAAGGCAGCGGUGCUGUGAGCACCCCGACAGUUGGGAUGAUGACUAAAGGGGCCGCCCUGGCCAGUGCAGAGUCCUGCCCGAGGCCAGGCGAGCCCUCUCAGGGCUGCACGUGGCCACCUGGGGCCUGGAUGGGCCCCACAGGCCGCUUUGGUGACCUGAGGUGGCCCUGGGAGCAACAGGCCACCUCCAACGAGGGGAUGGCAGGGCCAGCCAGACGCCAGACCCCACGCAGCCACCUGGUCCCCACGGGGCGGAGCAGAGGGCGCCGCGGGACCCGGCAGGCUGUGUCCCGCCCUCCACCAAAGUCAGUUCCUGCCUUCCAGGGUCCCCAAAACUCAGGAGAUACGACCCCACCCGGAGUCCGAAGAAGCUCCCCGGCCCGCAGCCAUUCCCUAUGAAGGCCUCCCUACCAGGGAAGGGACAGUCUUUGGUCUCAGUUUCCCCCCUUGCCGGUUAAAGGUGAAUAAAGUUUCAUGUGCUAA